AGAACGAACGCUGGCGGCAGGCCUCAAACAUGCAAGUCUAGGGGGGCGUAGCAAUACGUCACCGGCGGACGGGUGCGUAACACGUGGGAAUGUACCUAUUGGUUCGGAACAACUCAGGGAAACUUGAGCUAAUACCGAAUGUGCCCGAAAGGGGAAAGAUUUAUCGCCAAUAGAUCAGCCCGCGUCCGAUUAGCUAGUUGGUGGGGUAAAGGCUCACCAAGGCGACGAUCGGUAGCUGUUCUGAGAGGAAGAUCAGCCACACUGGGACUGAGACACGGCCCAGACUCCUACGGGAGGCAGCAGUUGGGAAUCUUGGACAAUGGGGGAAACCCUGAUCCAGCCAUGCCGCGUGAGUGAUGAAGGCCUUAGGGUUGUAAAACUCGUUUCGGCGGGGACGAUAAUGACGGUACCCGCAGAAGAAGCUCCGGCUACUUCGUGCCAGCAGCCGC
rnacentral:rRNA from 1 species